ensembl:lncRNA
UGAAUCACAGCUGCAGCUGCCAGCCUACGCCACAGCCGCAGCAAAACCAGAUUCUUAACCCACGGAGUGAGGCCAGGGAUUAAACUCCCAUCCUUAUGGACACUCUGUCGGGUUCUUAACCCACGGAACCACAACAACAACUCCCACUCUGCCUUUUGAUGCAGGACAGCAAAGUCUUUAGCUUUCCUAUUACUGCCAGACCUCGCUACAUGAAUCAGAAGGUGGAAGAGGUGCAGGGCCAUGCCAUUUAUAAUGGUGUCUCUCCCAUUAUUUCCCAUUUAGUGUCUGUAUGGCAUUUUCCUGAAUAUACCACCAAACCACUGAGGUGGUGGGUUGAGCUCUCUGAGUACCAGGAUCAACUGUUUCUCUUAUACUACUUGGCCCUGCGAUUUGUUAGGCGGUUACCUUCGAAAAUGAACUGUCAGUAAAAGAAAUGAUGGUAAAAUCACCCCUUUUGUUGAAAAUGCGCCAAACACCAUCCUGAAGCCAUGUCCUCCAACUCACCUUGGGGUCUCUGAGGGCGCAACGGACAGAAACUAAUACAUUCUAAUGCUCAGCUCUAUCAUUUUCCUGUUAGCGAUGAGAAAACUGAGGCUGGGAGGGGUUAAGCAACUUGUUCAAUCAAUGUUAAGUCAGGGGUGAGGUUCAGAGCUGGUGCUAAAAGUCGGUGCCAUGGCAGCCAGCUUUCUGCCCAUUUUAGGGCAUGAGGUUACCUCCUGAAAGGCAGUGAUGCUCUUGUAUCACUUCCCCCCUGGCAUCUAUGUCUGUGCCAGGCUCAGAGGGAGCAGCACUCAAGUGAGGGCAGCUCUAGGGGGCCUGGCUCAGUCCCUCAGGGCUUCCUGCUGGACCAGCCCGGACUUAUCUCUGUGACUCAACUCUAGUGACAGAGUAUCUCCCUGGAUCUAGAAACUCUGUGACCAGCUCCCCAGGAUCCUUUCCCUGGGGAGCUCACAGUCUCUGGAAAGCCAUGGCCUUUGGUGCUUAUGCUUAAUGUUUUCAAAGAAACCCAUUUUCUUUUUCUUUUUUCAGAUGGCAUCACAUGGACGUUCCCAGGCUAGGGGUCAAAUCAGCUACAGCUUCCGGCCUACACCACACCACAGCAAAGCAGGAUCUGAGCUGCAUCUGCCACCUACACCACAGCUCAGGGCAACACCAGAUCCUUAACCCACUGAGCAAGUCCAGGGAUCGAACCCACAUCCUCACAGAUAAAUACUUGUGGAAACCACCCUAUUUUCUUCCUUUCUAACACACUUCACAGUCUUUAUUCCUUCCUAGGCAUGAUCAUCUGCUUAGCAUUUGUGUCCCUUGUUAGACUCUGAAGAUGAGGGAAGCAGUCCCCACGGCAGGUCCUGGUCACCACAGCCUCCCCAGCACCCAACGCAGUGUCUGACACUUAAUGGGGACUCCGUCAUGAUUUGCUGAGUGAAUAAGAAAAUACUGUGUUCAUGCCGUAAUAAAGGUAAGAGCAGGGUGGGAAUGGAGACCUGAAUGGACUAGAUUAGUAGGAGUUGACCAGGUAACACUCAGUACUCUUGAGGGUGGUAGGGAUUAAGAUGUUCCAUCCAGAGGGUUAACUAAAUGCAAGUGAUGCUAUCAAAGAGUAUGUCAUAGACAGGGCGCUGCAAUCAGUUGGGGAUGCAGAGCCCAUAAAAUGCUGGCAGUGUGGGAAGACAGGCCAGCGGCCAGGGGAUACUGGCUUCUGAAGGAAUAGGAGAAAAAGAAUGUCUUCAUAUGUAGAACUGGGUCAUUUUGCUGUGCUGCAGAAAUGGACAGAACACUGUAAAUCAACCACAAUAAAAAAAAUUAAGAAAAAAAACUGGGGGUGGGGUGUUGAAAUUAUCAUCGGCUUUCUACUGCACUCUGGCAGUCAUCUUCAGGGCAGGUGACCCUUUGAGGAGGCUGCAAAUGGAGUCCUUCUUCAGGCUGGAGGAGGACAGGGGGACGGCAGCCCCUUCCAGACAAGACAAGACAAGAGCCCAGGGGAUACACAGCUGAAGCAUCAGGAGGGUGGCUCACGGGUGACAGAUGGCUCAAGUAAACCUGGCGGUCCUGCUGGAAGGGAGGGCCCUGGCCAGACCGCAGAGGGGGCUUCUGCUCUUGGCUGGAAAAGCAUGGGGCUCUCUAGUCUGGGGACAGCCUGGCAAAAUGUCUGGGAGUCAAAGAUGGAGCUCAUCUUCAUGCACCCCCAACCCCUGCCUCCCACCCACCAUCCGCAAGCCACACAUGGCAGGGGUUCCGGUUUACAAACAAAAACCUGGAUGGCCAGUGCUGGUGACGAUGAUGGCAAGGUGCCUAUUUCACCGGCUGCACUGGUAUUUCUGGAGACAACUGGAUGUGCUCCCAACCUCUGUCACCUUAUGGUGAAACCCAUGAGUAAGAAUGGCCUGUGGGCUAGGGUUGGAAGGGUCUGGAACAUUCCUUGGCUCCACUGUUUUCGUUCUUGGGGACAUCAUGGACUGCACCAGACCUCAGCUUGCCCGUUUGGGAGAUGCUGGCCCAGAAGGCCACUGUGUGGACUGUGUGGCCAUCUGUCAGGGGCUGGCAGAUAUAAGUGAUGGGGGAUCUGGGAGUGCCAGAGAGCACACUGGACACAGAGCUCAACAACCUGGAUUCUCAUACAGGAGGCAGGAGCUGGAGGCCUGCUGUGAGUUGGAUGCUGGGGGGUGCAAGGGGCAUAUGAAAGGCACAUGGGAAAGCAUGUGGUGUGGAGGACAGAGCCCGGGCUUGGGUAAUCGCAGGCCAGUGUGGCACCUUCUCAGAGAUGCCAAGACUGAACAAUAGGGGUGGUUAACUCUGCCAGUCAGGAUGACGGGAAGAGGGGGCACUGGGGUUAACUCACCAAAGAUAAGGGCUACCAAGACCUACCAAGACAAGAAAAGAGAGCAGCAUGAGCAAGCCAGAGCAGAAGAGGAGGCUUCAGCAAUUCUGGGCGUUCAGGGGUGUAGGUGUGAGAUACCUGCACAGCCCUUCUGUGCACAUUUCCAGAAUGUGCUAGAGAGAUGGAGAGGCCAGGACCUGACAUGUUGCUUUAAGGAUUCUACUGAGAUCGCAGGGCUGAGUCACCAAAGAACUGGCUGCCAGGACUCCUUGCCCCUGAGCCUCUUGUCUGCUGUCCCUGUGUUCAAAACACUUGCUCUCUAGACUUUCAAUGACUUAUUAUCUGUGCACCUAUCUUUGCCCCUUCUGGCUGUCCACUCAUGAAUCUGCAUAAGGAUAAGAACAGCAGUGGCUUGACCACUGGUGCAAGGAUUGCGGAGACCAGCCAUGGAACACGGAAGGAACUAUGGACGCAGACUCUCCCUGCCCAAACCCUAGCCAGUCUCCUCCAAGUCCUCUGCUCCACAAGACCUCAACCUUGGUCUGUAAAGACUUGAACCAAACACUAACAUUGCUUCUGAUGGUUCAAGGCCACAUCCCUAAUGGCCCUAGCAUCCCUCAAAGUCCCUGCCUCCGAAACCUCAAGGCUGCCAAAAGAAUCUGUCUGUUUCUGCCAACACCUAAAGAAAGAUAGGGCUGGGCUUCCAGUCUCUGUGGCAGGCUGGUGCCUAAGCUUGGAUAAGCACCAGUUACCAAGCCCAGAUGAGCUUCACUGGACUAACCCCCAUUUCCUGUUGGUAUCAUGUUUUACUCCUGACAUGAUACAGUCCCUGCUCCCCACUCAUCACCACCUUCACUCCCUUACUCCCCCUCUCCCCCAGACAGCUCCGCACAAACUGGAAAGCAGCUCAGCUCCUUGUCCUACUGUCAGGCGUUCCAGGAUAAAAUCUGUUCUCACCACAGGCAUGUCCACCUGUGAUUAUCUUUGACACCAUUCAGGCAAUGACCAUCUCUACCUGCCGUGCAAAGCCUGGGGCCCUGGGCUGAGUGGGUUACACAUGAUCUCAUUUAUGAUGGACCUGGAGGGGAGGCAGUCUGGGUGGAGGAGAACAGAGAGGGUGUGACACAGUGGAUAAGAGCCCAGACCUCUGGAGCCAGAGGUCUAGGCUGGGCCUCUCUAUUCAUGAGCUGUGACACCCAGGCUACGCAUGUAUCCCUUCUGUGACUUGGCUUCCUAAUCUGGAUCCAAGGCAUAACUGUCUCCACCUCUUGGAGCUGUUAUGAGAACUCUCUGAAUCAACACACAAGGCAGAGUGAGCCCAGAGCACAGUAAGAACUUAAUACAUGUGCCCUUGUUAUUUCAAAGUCAUCAAAGCAUGUCCCAUAAGGAAAUAUCUUCUCUUUUUAUGCAAAAUAUAUGCCAUGAUCUAGCACAUGUCCUGGUGCAGGGUCAAUGCUGAGUAAGUGUUUGCUGAAUAUGUGACUUAAUGUUGAAAUGUUCCUCCUUGCUCUGUUAUUCACUUCUGUGUGCUUUUCAGUCUGGUCUCAGAACUGGACAGCCACCCCUGGCUUGUGUCAACACAGGAGCAUCCACAGGACCACUGAGUGCAUCUGCAUACAGCAUUAUAACUGCAUAUCUGAUAAUAUGAGGCAGACAAGGAUAAAGACUAAGUACUCGUGACACAGAGCUGUCUCCCAGAGUGGGUCCAGGAGAGGAUGCAGCCAGAAGAAACUCUUACAUCUCUGGUCUCAGCUAAGCAGAAGCAAAACUUGGCUUGAGACUGCUACGUUUCAUUCUCCCUUUGUGCAUCAGAAUGGAAAGGGGAGGGGGGGACGAAGUGAUAGGAGUUGUCAAGUUUUGAAAUGAAUAAUAAGAUGUCUUCCAAGUGAGGCAUAUAAAAGAGAUGAGCUAAAAAUACAGCCGGCUCUAGGAGCAUCUGGGAAGCAGAAGGAUUAGCGAGGCGCCUUUAAUUGCCGCAGAACAAAGACCCCUGCUGAAGGGAAGGUUUCCCCCACCAGUUGCACCUGCAGCAGGUAAGCAAAAGGAUGAUAAUGUGGAGGGCAUCUUCCAAGCGCCCUCUCCCUACUUGAGGAAAUUAAUUCCAAAAAAGUAGGCAUCUAGCAAUUUCGGAUCAUGCGGCUGAAAGAGGAAACAUCAAGAGGCUCAGCCAGUGGGAAAAGGGGUGACGUUUUAGCACCUCUGACCAGUCUGAGGCUCUUUCUAUAGGAUCCAAUUUAAUUCUCAUCACAAGCCAAUGAGGAAGGUUUCUUAUCACUUUUUUUGACAGAUAAGGACACCGAGGCUCAGAGAGGUGACGUUUCGGACUUAAGUUCAAAUGACUAGAAAGUACAAGUCCUGGGACUGGACCCCCCCCCACCCCAGCUGUCAAAUCCCCAAAUCAAGACCAUGAUAAUAUGCUAUAUUUCUUACGCAUUCCCUUUAAGUGAAUACAUGAAGCAUGUCUUCUAAACUAUUUAUAAACUCUCUCUCCAUCCACCUUCCAUCCAUCCAUCCACACAUCCAUCUAUCCACCCAUUCCCCCUCUCCACCUCCACCCUGCCCUGUUUUUGGGGAAAAAAAAAAAUCCCAUUGUUUUUUAUAGGCCCAAAGCAUAAAAGGCAAACACUUCACUUUAUCAUUCAAGACCCCUGGGCAUCUAAACAGUUAACAUCCACUUCAUACUUCGAGGUACAGAGAGCUUUAUAGCUUUUAAAGCUCUAUCUCAUGUAUUAUCUUGUUCAUUACCUGUUUUAUUACCCUCAGGAUAAAAUAUGGAAGUUACACAGCUCAGAGAGGCUAAGUCAUCUGCCCAGAGUCACAUCUAGCAAGCAGCAGAUCUGAGGUCCACUCCCCAGAAGACCUUCUGAAUCGUACAUCCAAGCUCUUGCAUGAUCUUGAUAGAAGCAGUAAGUACAACCGUUAGAAAUAUGGGCACUGGAGCAAGGCUGCCCGGUUCAAAUCUUGGCUCUGCCACUUACUAGCUGUGUGGUUUUGGAUAAAGGUGUCUGCUCUCUAUGUCUAAGUGCACGCCCGGGGAAAAAGAGCAUAAGGUUGGUUCCUAAACCUCCCGGGGUUGUAAUGAUUAAUUAAGGAGGUUAUAAUAUUCAAUACACUUAAAAUAGUGUCCCGUAUCUGGUAAACCUAGCAGUAUUCGGUUUUUAUUUAUUUUGGUUCUUGUUUCUUCUCCUCUUGUGGGAAGUUCUCCUGGAGUUGAGAGGAUCCUGUAACUGGCCCAACACUCCCCAUUUGGGAAGUGGAAGAGUUAGGAUCUGAAAGGAGGCCUGACUCAGAUGCUUCGUUAAGAUUCUCACCUGCAUCCCUCUCCUUCUGGCACACAGGAUGAGAUGCAGAAAAGGACCCAGGCUGAGUCUGUCCUGGCCCAGAGGAGGGAAGUGUGCCUCCUGGGGGAGCCUCGCCAUCGUCAGGACACACUCCCAGGGCCACAUGAGUCAUUGCCUCUCUAUGAAUGUAUCUGUUCCUUCGACAAAAUUAUUCACUGAAUCACGGCUAUGUUUCAAGCACUGUAAUGAAACCUAGAAACAUGCCACUGAACCAGACACGG